UAAAGGUUACAAAUUAUUUAAAUAUUUUAAGAGAGCGUAAACUUUAUAAACUAUAAAUUAUAUUAUAUUUUUACAUGGGAAGAGAAAAAAUAUGGCUGAAGUUUUCAAAUUUGUUUAUGCUAUGAUUGUAUUUCUUUCCUUAUUUUUUGUUUCAACAAAAAUUUGCCAUGCGCAUGAUGUAUGUGAAACUGACCUCGAUUGUCCACAAAGUGUGAACAUGUUUUAUACUAUUAAGUGCAUUGAUCUUAAAUGUGAAGCGAUUCAGAUCCUAUAAGUACCAUAUCUAUUAAAGUCCUAAAACAUUCUAAAGAGUUGUCAUUUAGUUAUUAUGUCAACAAUUAAUAAGUUUGCUUUGUUUCUUUUUCUAAUUUCAUCGAUCUUGUAACUAUGACUUUGUAAUAAAAGAUAAAGGUAAAAAAUCAAAGAAUAUUAUUUAUUA